GAUGAACGCUGGCGGCGUGUCUAAGGCAUGCAAGUCGAAUGUGGUAGCAAUACUGCAUGGCAAACGGGAGAGUAACACAUUGGCAAUCUACCCCUAAGACGAGGAUAACCUUGCGAAAGUGAGGAUAAUACUCGAUAGUAUUAACAAGCUCAAGCUUGUUAAUUAAAGCUCCGGCGCUUAGGGAGGAGCCUAUGGCCUAUCAGCUUGUUGGUGAGGUAAUAGCUCACCAAGGCUACGACGGGUAUGGGGUGCGAGAGCAUGGCCCCACUCACUGGGACUGAGACACUGCCCAGACUCCUACGGGAGGCUGCAGUCAAGAAUCUUCCUCAAUGGGCGAAAGCCUGAAGGAGCGACGCCGCGUGUAUGAAGAAGCCUUUUCGGGGUGUAAAAUACUUUUAACUGUGACGAAACAAUGACGGUAGCAGUUGAAUAAGGGGCUGCUAACCUCGUGCCAGCAGCCGCGGUAAAACGUGCGUG
rnacentral:rRNA from 1 species